AGUGUUACUUUUUGAGAUUGUAAUGUUGUGCUAUUAACCCCAGUGACAUUUCAGUGGUAAUGAAGAACUUGACAUGCAUGGUGGAAGUUGAUCGAGACUAUCAAUUCUUCGAGAGGUCCAGCGACUAUAUACUCGCAAGAAGGAUAUGGUAUGGAAUAGCUUUCUACACCUCUGGGCUGGCAGAUUUGUGAGAUUGGAAGUUGUUUCAGUGUGGAGAGAGAUGAACACUUUGUAUGGUCUGGUAAAAUUUGCUUUUGAAGUCACAAUGGUAAUGAAGAACUUGACAUGCAUGGUGGAAGUUGAUCGAGACUAUCAAUUCUUCGAGAGGUCCAGCGACUUUAUACUCGCAAGAAGGAUAUGGUAUGGAAUAGCUUUCUACACCUCUGUGCUGGCAGAUUUGUGAGAUUGGAAGUUGUUUCAGUGUGGAGAGAGAUGAACACUUUGUAUGGUCUGGUAAAAUUUGCUUUUGAAGUCACAAUGGUAAUGAAGAACUUGACAUGCAUGGUGGAAGUUGAUCGAAACUAUCAAUUCUUCGAGAGGUCCAGCGACUAUAUACUCGCAAGAAGGAUAUGGUAUGGAAUAGCUUUCUACACCUCUGGGCUGGCAGAUUUGUGAGAUUGGAAGUUGUUUCAGUGUGGAGAGAGAUGAACACUUUGUAUGGUCUGGUAAAAUUUGCUUUUGAAGUCACAAUGGUAAUGAAGAACUUGACAUGCAUGGUGGAAGUUGAUCGAGACUAUCAAUUCUUCGAGAGGUCCAGCGACUAUAUACUCGCAAGAAGGAUAUGGUAUGGAAUAGCUUUCUACACCUCUGUGCUGGCAGAUUUGUGAGAUUGGAAGUUGUUUCAGUGUGGAGAGAGAUGAACACUUUGUAUGGUCUGGUAAAAUUUGCUUUUGAAGUCACAAUGGUAAUGAAGAACUUGACAUGCAUGGUGGAAGUUGAUCGAAACUAUCAAUUCUUCGAGAGGUCCAGUGACUAUAUACUCGCAAGAAGGAUAUGGUAUGGAAUAGCUUUCUACACCUCUGUGCUGGCAGAUUUGUGAGAUUGGAAGUUGUUUCAGUGUGGAGAGAGAUGAACACUUUGUAUGGUCUGGUAAAAUUUGCUUUUGAAGUCACAAUGGUAAUGAAGAACUUGACAUGCAUGGUGGAAGUUGAUCAAGACUUUCAAUUCUUCGAGAGGUCCAGCGACUAUAUACUCGCAAGAAGGAUAUGGUAUGGAAUAGCUUUCUACACCUCUGGGCUGGCAGAUUUGUGAGAUUGGAAGUUGUUUCAGUGUGGUGAGAGAUGAACACUUUGUAUGGUCUGGUAAAAUUUGCUUUUGAAGUCACAAGUAAGUCUCAAUAAAGGCAUUUCCAUUUAUAGUUUUCUAACUGGCUAUGUAUUGGAAAGUUGGUGGUUCUACUCUUAAAAGGUGUGUCUGUCUUUGUCCGAACAAUGUCAUUAAGGCACAUUUUCUUCUAUCUUAAAAGCUGGACAGUCACCAAAAUUAAACCUAGAAUGGUAUCUAUUUAAUGGAGAAAUUGUUAAGGUUAUAGUGUUACUUUUUGAGAUUGUAAUGUUGUGCUAUUAACCCCAGUGACAUUUCAGUGGUAAUGAAGAACUUGACAUGCAUGGUGGAAGUUGAUCGAGACUAUCAAUUCUUCGAGAGGUCCAGCGACUAUAUACUCGCAAGAAGGAUAUGGUAUGGAAUAGCUUUCUACACCUCUGUGCUGGCAGAUUUGUGAGAUUGGAAGUUGUUUCAGUGUGGAGAGAGAUGAACACUUUGUAUGGUCUGGUAAAAUUUGCUUUUGAAGUCACAAGUAAGUCUCAAUAAAGGCA